ACUGUUCCCAUGACAACCUGCAGUGUGGAAAGGCUCUUCUCUACUAGGAAUCGGAUCAAGACAGCAACAAGAGCAUCAAUGUUCACAAGUCGCCUCAAUAAUCUGUCACUGUUGUCAUUCGAAACGGAACUGUGUGAUUCACUGGACUAUGACAGUAUUAUUGCUAUAUUCAACAGCAAGCCACAACGCCUUGUCAUGUAGGGGGGUGGAGCGGAAAGAAGAAAACAUCAAAAGAUGAAUUGUCGGCCACCAUCAUUACCAAGAAGUGACCUGAGAUCCUCAAGACUCCAGUGUUGGAGAUCUGUGGUUGGACAUAUUGUGUAUUGAGAGUCUAUUCUACAGACAGUGCUGCAGUAAUCCUGUGUCGUCAUGAAUGAUGGGUGUCAAAACAAACAAACAACUCCUCCAGUUAGCUAUUGGAAGAAAUGCUGUAAUUUCUCUGUUCCUGUGAUCAACUUUCCAGCAUUUCAGCCUGACACAGCUUAACUAAUGUAGCUGGAAGCUCAGAGGGGUGAGCAGAUCUGCACAGAGCAGAGGUGAACAAAGUGGACCCAGCCAUGGUCUUUGUUCAGGCAAAUUUUCUAAAUUCAUUGAUUUUACCUAUUAAACUUGGAACAUACCUGGCAUAGAGAACAGACCUACAGUAGCGGCCAAAAAUACAUUUCUAGCACACAAUUAAAACAUUAGUUAUUUUAUCUCAAAUUGAGAUGAUUCCAUGUUUAAUACAUUGCACACAACAUGUAGAUAACAAAAGGAGAGUAUCUCCAGACAAUCAGAGAUACAAUCUGAUCCACAGAAGAAUGUUCUCCUAAACAGAAAUGCAACUGUUUCCAGUUGAAAAGAGUUAAAACGCAGUGUGCGGCAUGCUGUCCAGCCAAAAGAAAUGAGGGAUACACGUCCACAGAUCUUUAUAGUUGUGUCUGGUCCACUUUUCCGCAGAACAGUUCUCAUUUCUGACAGUAAUAAGUGUGUUCUAAGUGCUUUAUUGUUUUAGGGCCAAUCAGACAGCUGAAGACUGUAGCACAAGGUACUCAACCUGAUGGCUUUGUUCUGUUUUCUUUCCAAUUUUUUUUUUCCCGAGCUCUAUAUGCUGGAUCAAGCUUAUAUAAAAACAGUCAUCAUGCAUGUUUUAUCUUAAAAAUCCCGUCAACAAAGAAUCCCGUCAACAAAGAAAGUUGCUCCUAAAUUAAGAGAGACCAAUAAUUUAACCUAACAGACUGUCAUUGCUGGAAUUUCCUGUAAUAAAAAGAAUAAGAAAAAAGAAAAAAUAACAACAGACCAAUGACUUUCCAGCAGUGACUUUACAGUUUAAAUGCAUCAGCGGACUACGACUUUCCACACUGACCCCUUCAGGAUGGAGGUGACCUCACAGACUGCCCCCUGCUAAAAAGGGAGAAGUGAGGAGGCCUUGGAUGUUUGUCAUUCUCAGGCUUAACUGCGCCUGCAGAAAGACAAUCAGUUGCUUUAAAGUUAUUUACAGGAAUGUUCCACAGCACCCUGUAAAUCUCCCACAGCUACGCAGGUUUUUAAAGAACCCUUUUUAGGGCACUGCAUGGCACAAUAAGGCCGAGAAGUCAAGCAAGAGGACAUUUGCUGAAAUACCAGAAAGAAAAAUGCUCUGCCUCAGCAGCAUACUACAGUAUAAAACUAACACAAUCACACAGCAUGCACAUGUUUUGGUUUAGAAGAAUAUAUAAUAUUUGAAGUGUGCAGGAGCUUUUUCAUAUACCGUAACUGUAUAUACAGUAAUGUGGACAAUUUAUGGAAUGUAAAAAUGAGUGUAUAGAAACAGCAUAUAUUUCAUAGAUAAUAUCAUCCAUAACUUUUAUAUAUUAAUAGACUUACAUUCAGAACAUUCGUCAAUGGAUUUUACUUUAGUAUUAUUUUAGAAUUUCUUCAUUAAA